GGGAACAUCACGCGCCCCAGGGGCACUGGCAGACGCAGCAGGGCAGGCGGCCAGGGCAGAUGGGCCUUGGGCCGCACCUGGGAGACCCUCAGGCCUCUUGCGUCUCCGGCGCCACAGCGGCCCCUGGUGGCGGUCCCGGCCCUGGGCGCGGGCGGACCCUUUCUGCCCAGCGGGAUGCUCUGGGCGGCCAGGGUGCCGGGAAGAGGAAGAGGCGCGCUCAAGGCCCGGCCGGGCGUUGCUGGGGACGGCCGCGGGCAGGCAAGGACGGAAGGCGGCGGCCGGGCGGCAGCUAGUGGGAGGGACCGGCUCCCUGGCGGGCCGAGCCUCGCUACCUGCUGGAGGGCGUCCCGGCCCCAGCGCCCCCCGACACCCUGCCCCCGGCCAGAUUUAGCCCCUCCGACAGCCCGGCAGGCUGGAGAGCGACCGCCCGGGAUCCGGGACACUCCUGCGCAGCGCCAUUGUGGGGAUGCCUGGGCAGAGGGUCGACAUCCCAUCGCCCAGCUGUGCUGACAAGUCCUGGAAGCUGCUGUGGGACGCAGCCCUCGGUCCCUGCCACCUGCGUCUCCCUGGCCCAGCCCGCGCUGGCCCGCAUCGCCGGCACCACCUCUCAGCUGUCCGCUCCUUUGCAACCGUCCGCAGUUCCAAGUGCCACCGCCAGGUGUCGCUGCACACGUGCCGAGGCGCCUCUGCAAGCCAGACCUGGGAUUCAACCCUGGGGCCGGUCCGCGAGGUUCUGGGGACACCCAGGGUCCUGUUGCCCGCCGCCCGCAAUUUAUCUGUGCACGGAGCACCCCCACGCUGCACUAGGAACUUCCGCUGCUCCCGCAACUCCUCACUCCUCGGUGCCUUGUGCAUGCUGCCUUUAGUGCCUGCCCUGAUCUCCAGCUGGGCAACUCCUGCUGCACGUCAAUACCCACUGGAGGCAACACCUCCUUCAGGAAGCCUUCCCUGAUGCCACUGUAGUGGCCCCGUCUUGAGUUUCCACAGCCCCCUGUGGCUGCCUCAUCACUGCAGUGACUGCCUACUUGGCUGUGUCUGUUUCUGUGUCUGACUCCCCACUAGAAUGUGAGCUUUGGGAGAACAGGGAGGGCCGUGCACUGGGCUGUUGUGUUUUGAUUUUUAAAUAGACUUAAUUAUUUUUAGAAUAGUUUUAGGUUCACAGAAAAACUGAGCAGAAAGUACAGAGAGUUCCCAUACACCCCCAGCUCCUACAUGUGCACAGCCUCCCCCUCUAUCACAUCCCCAGCAGAGGGGUGCAUGAGGGACCUGCACUGGCACAUCAGUGUCACCCGCAGCCCAUGGUUUACAUGAGGGCUAUGGGUUCCAUGUGUUUGGUCAAAUGUACAACGACCCUUAUCCACCAUUAUUCUACACAGAAUAAUGUGUGUCACCGCCCGAAAGAUCCUCUGUGCUCCACCUCUGAACCCCUGUGCUCCCUUCCCCCAACCCCUGGAAACCACAGAUCUUUCUACUGUUCCCAUAGUUCUGUCUUUUCCAGAACGUCAUAUAGUUGGAAUCGUACAGUGUGUAGCCUUUUCAGAUCGGCUUCUUUCACAUAGCAAUAGGCAUUUAAGUUUCCUCCAUGCCAUUUCAUGGCUUGGUAGCUCAUUUCUUUCUAGCCCUAAAUACUAUUCCACUGUCUGGAUGUACCACAGUUUAUUUACCCACUCAUGAUACUGAAGGACUUCCUGGUUGCUUCCAAAUUUUGAAAACUAUGAAUAAAGCUGCUGUAAACCUCUGUGCACUGGUUUUUGUGUGG
ensembl:lncRNA